ACCCCUCCCAUUACCCCAGAUCUUGGUGGGCAGCCGGCAUACUCUGUCCGUUGACAGCUGGAUUCACACCGAGUCUGUGGCAAGGUCUAAUAUCUAGUGGACUGGGAGGGCUACGGCCCAGAAGAGCAUUGCUGGGUCCCAGCUGGAGACAUCCUAGAUCCGAACCUUAUCUGAGAGUUCCACCGCCUGGACCCCAACCGUGGUCAAGGGAACGUCAGGAGCCGUUCCUGAGAAAAGGGCUCAUCCCCCGUGAUGGACUUGGCCACCUGUCUAUGGUGUUUCCCCGCUCUCGACCCAAGAUAGCUGGGAUAGACUCCAGCACUCCAGCGACCCCAGUAGGGUUAUAAAGAAUAGAUGGUUCUUUGCAGCCCAGAGUUCAUCAGGAUGUGAUUAUCGGCAGAGUAAAUGAAGUUUUGAUGGCUCGAGCAGGUGUCCUAACCAGCCAGACACUGCAUUGUUGGCUCAACCAAUGGCGUGAGUUUGGGGCGGGGCUAUCUGUUUGUUGAAGCAUGGCAGACAGGGAGGUCUGCUAGGUACCAGAGAGAAGAAACAUCAGUGUUUAUGAGGAUGGAGAAGAUUUCACCGAACACGAGAGAGACUCUUUUCAGAGAGGACAGGAAGCAAAGUGGAUGAGAGAGAGGGGGUAGGGUCGGGAAAGGACCACGAGCUCGGGUCGCCCAGGACGCACCUGCGCC